rnacentral:sRNA from 12 species
UGCCUAAACCUACCGCAAGGUAGGCAUGGCAGAAAGACCUAACAGGCAGUAAGCUCUUCGUCAGAGCGCUUGUUAGGCUGUAGUCCGAAAGGAUUGCAGGUCGGGGGAAACUUCGAUC